rnacentral:lncRNA from 1 species
UAUGGAUUUGAGAGAGAAAAAUCAGAUCUGCCCAGAUCUGCAUAGAUCUACCAAAAAACCAAAUCUACCAAAAAAACCAAAUCAGAUCUGCUCGUGACAAGGUGUUCAGAGGAAGCCAGGUUGCUUGUGAUUUUCCUGCUUGCAAGGGGCUUGAGACCUUAGUUCGUCAUUUCUCCAAUUGUAAAACCUGGGUUCCUGGUGGAUGUGCUCACUGCAAGCGCAUGUGGCAGCUUCUUGAAUUGCAUUCUCGUAUUUGCGAUAAGCUUGAUUCAUGCAAGGUCCCUUUGUGUAGGUAAGCAUGAGAAAUCCUGUGGGACUUUGGUGUUGCUGCCAGUAAUAUGGAUGCCAUGUGCCACUAUGAUUGAAAUGAUUUUUGCAUAAUUACUCUCUGUGGUUUGAGGCAUUUCAAGGCAAAAAAUGCAACAGCAGACCCGUGACAAAGGAGCUUUCUCUGGUGUUGAAGCAAGAGGAGCUUCCAAGCUCAAUCUCAGGUCCAACUAUAUUCUUCAUCUUUAAUCUACAAUUUUCAAUAUUUCCCCUUCGAUUCUUGUUCUAAAAUCGUGCUUCUAUUGAUUUUUUUUUUUUUUUUUUGGGAUUGUUCAAGACCUCGAACGAACCUAGAUCAAAUGCUCUUAGCUCUACUCCUCAUCUUCAAGCUCUACUCCUCUUCAUCACGUCGUCGUCAUUGUUGUCGUCAUCAUUGUCAUCGUCGUUGUUUGGUUUGGACUUGAGAUUUUUGAUCUUUUGCUUCAAUUAUGUGUAUCUCUUCGGAUUUUAGUUGAUUUUCGAAAUGUAUUUUAAGAUUUGAUGAUCGAUUUAUCUUUUAUUACUAUUUCAGUUAUGAAUUUUAUUUUUGUUUAACAAUGUACUUCUAUGACAGAGUAUUAACAAUGUACUUCUAUGACAGAGUAUUAACAAUGUACU